GUUGAACGCUGGCGGCAUGCCUAACACAUGCAAGUCGAACGGCAGCACAGUAAAGACUUCGGUCUUUAUGGGUGGCGAGUGGCGGACGGGUGAGUAACGCGUAGGAAUCUGUCCUGGAGAGUGGGAUAACCCGAGGAUACUCGGGCUAAUACCGCAUGAUAUCGAGAGAUCAAAGGCAGGGGACCCUUCGGGGCCUUGCGCUCUAGGUUGAGCCUACGUCGGAUUAGCUAGUUGGUGGGGUAAAGGCCUACCAAGGCGAGGUUCCGGAGCUGGUCUGGGAGGAUGACCAGCAACAUUGGGCCUGGGACACGGCCCAGACUCCUAUGGGAGGCAGCAGUGGGGAAUCUUGGACAAUGGGGGAAACCCUGAUCCAGCGAUGCCGCGUGUGUGAAGAAGGCCUUCGGGUUGUAAAGCACUUUAGGUGGGGAAGAAAGGUAAUGAGUGAAUAACUGAUUGCUUUGACGGUACCCGCAGAAUAAGCACCGGCUAACUCUGUGCCAGCCGCCGCCGUAA
rnacentral:rRNA from 1 species